AGAAUACUCCCUUCAUCCGGAAUUACUUGUCAUAGGAAUGGAUGUAUCUAGAUAUAUUUUAGUUCUAGAUAUAUUCAUUUCUUUCCAUUUUGAUGACAAGUAAUUCCGGACGGAGGGAGUAAGUU
rnacentral:pre_miRNA from 1 species